UGGGGAAUAUUGCACAAUGGGGGAAACCCUGAUGCAGCGACGCCGCGUGAACGAAGAAGGUAUUCGUAUCGUAAAGUUCUGUCCUAUGGGAAGAUAAUGACAGUACCAUAGAAGAAAGCUCCGGCUAAAUACGUGCCAGCAGCCACGGUAAUACGUAUGGAGCGAGCGUUGUCCGGAAUUAUUGGGCGUAAAGGGUACGCAGGCGGUUUAAUAAGUCGAAUGUUAAAGAUCGGGGCUCAACCCCGCAAAGCAUUGGAAACUGAUAAACUUGAGUAGUGGAGAGGAAAGUGGAAUUCCUAGUGUAGUGGUGAAAUACGUAGAUAUUAGGAGGAAUACCAGUAGCGAAGGCGACUUUCUGGACACAAACUGACGCUGAGGUACGAAAGCGUGGGGAGCAAACAGG
rnacentral:rRNA from 1 species